GGUUCCAUGGUGUAACAGUUAGCACUCUGGACUCUGAAUCCAGUAAUCCGAGUUCAAAUGUCGGUGGGACCU